rfam:Nelumbo nucifera unplaced genomic scaffold scaffold00114, whole genome shotgun sequence
AGAGUGUAGUGCAGCCAAGGAUGACUUGCCGGCAGCAUCAAGUAGGAGGGAGAAUUGCCUGAAAUGGGAGUAGUCGGCAGGUUGUCCUUGGCUACAUUGUGCUCUCU